rnacentral:lncRNA from 1 species
GACUGUCAUAUUGUCUUGACCUGUCAUAUUGUCUCUGCCUGUCCUGACUGGUCAUAUUGUCUCUGACUGGUCAUAUUGUCUCUGCCCGUCUCUGACUGGUCAUAUUGUCUCUGACUGGUCAAUUGUCUUGCCCUGUCCUGACUGUCAUAUUUCUCUGCCCGUCUCUGACUGGUAAUAUUGUCUCUGACUGGUCAUAUUGUCUCUGCCCUGUCUCUGACUGGUCAUAUUGUCUCUGCCUGGUCAUAUUGUCUCUGACUGGUCAUAUUGUCUCUGACUGGUCAUAUUGUCUCUGCCCUGUCUCUGACUGGUCAUAUUGUCUCUGACUGGUCAUAUUGUCUCUGACUGGUCAUAUUGUCUCUGACUGGUCCUAUUGUCUCUGACUGGUCAUAUGUUCUGAUGGUCAUAUUGUCUCUGCCCUGUCUCGAUGGUCAUAUUGUCUCU